AUCGUAACUCCUACGGGAGGCAGCAGUGGGGAAUUUUGGACAAUGGGGGCAACCCUGAUCCAGCAAUGCCGCGUGAGUGAAGAGGGCCUUCGGGUUGUAAAGCUCUUUUGUCAGGGAAGAAACGGUAGUAGCUAAUAUCUAUUACUAAUGACGGUACCUGAAGAAUAAGCACCGGCUAACUACGUGCCAGCAGCCGCGGUAAUACGUAAGGUGCAAGCGUUAAUAGGAAUUACUGGGCGUAAAGCGUGCGCAGGCGGUUGUGUAAGUCAGAUGUGAAAUCCCCGGGCUCAACCUGGGAAUUGCAUUUGAGACUGCACGGCUAGAGUGUGUCAGAGGGGGGUAGAAUUCCACGUGUAGCAGUGAAAUGCGUAGAUAUGUGGAGGAAUACCGAUGGCGAAGGCAGCCCCCUGGGUUAACACUGACGCUCAUGCACGAAAGCGUGGGGAGCAAACAGGAUUAGAUACCCGAGUAGUCCUAGAGC
rnacentral:rRNA from 1 species